ACAUAAUGGACCCUUUAAAGACGGGAGAAAGAGGGUGGUGGUGGUUGUUAAACAAACCAAUACAGUCACAAGGCUCGCAAACUAUAUUUGAAAUGAACAAAAAAAAAAAAAAAAAAAGAGAGGAAGAAGAAGAUGUGUGAAAGGUAAUGGUCGCAGUACAGGUCUGGACAAGCAUCAUCUGUGGAUGGACAGAAGACAGGUUGAAUCACAGGUGAGGUGUGAGCAGGAGGAAGGUGUGUGCAUGCAUGUGCAGACGUGAGUGAGGAGGGAGCAGGUGUCUUUAGCAGCCUGGUAAACACAGGAAGAAGCUGGGAGUCAAGAAACCCAGAAACAGAGCCACACAGCCCACUGCCUUUGGAUACUGCUGCCCCUAAAGGACAAAAGCACAUUUGUUAAGUCAUCUCUAAGCAACACUGGGGGCGAAAAUAAAAAAAGAAAGUCUGCUUGACUCAAGAUCAUCCACGAUCGUUUUACAUGUCUUACUCAAACAUUUACACAAUGGAGUCAUUAUGAUGGUGAUAAAUUUGUUUAAUGAUGGUGUCAUAACUCUAGCAAGGAGUUGGGAGGAUUUUGUAGCUACAGUAUAAGACACUUAUCAAAUACGAGUUUACGUUCUGCGGUCGAGCAAAGUUUAUCCAUGGUAUACAGAAGCCACCUACAAACUAAACAUUAAUGUCAUGAGAACAACCAGGUCAUGUGAAGUGGGAUUUUUCUUGCCAUCUUUUCACACGCAAGCACACAUGCAUUUUUCCUUUAAAGAUAUUUGCAUACUGCAUGACGGUCCACUUUUUCGUGCUCCAAGCAAAGUGUUGUUUUUUUUUGGAGAAAUGGAAAGUCAUGUGCAGCCAGUCACCAAAAAGCCAAUCCUUGUUUCUGUGAUGAAAGCGGUGUGGGAUGAACAAGAGACUCCAUUUGAAAUUUAAUGAAUGUGUCGAGGGAUCGCGCUGCACAUUAAUAUGAAUUAGAGAUGAACAGAGGAAACCUGGAACCUCACAACACUGUUAAGGACCAUUGAGUUAUCUAUUGUUGUGGAGAUGAGUAGACAUAAGAGGACAGACUUUGGUUUAAAUCUGGUUUGGUUUAAGUCAGGAAAUAAAAGGUAUGAGACAUGUACAUUUUACUGUAGUUCCCAAAGUUCAAGUCCCAUUGUGUCUUUUAACUAAAUGUACAAAAAUGACCUUGUACCUUGAAAGCACAGUGUUUUGGAUUUUAUGUAGAGUGUACUUUGCAAGAAAUUGAGAUGAAGAGGUCAGUUUUCACUAAGGUCAACGGUUCAUUUACAUUUAUUCAUUUAGUCAAUGUUUUAUCCGAACAAAAGAACUCGGGAUUUGAGCUCAACCUUCUGUAAGGUCAUACCACUGAAAUCCCACUUUUAUCAUUUGCUCCAUAUCAUACAAUAAACCUAAGUAAAGAAGUGCAAGUAAAUGAUGAACCUGGAACUAUAAAGGUUCCUGUAAAUGUGAAACUAAAUUAGAGUGUGUAAAAUGUCAGAGGGGGUUCCUGGAAACUGCCCCUAUUUGAACAAAAAUUA